rnacentral:lncRNA from 1 species
AAUACGAAUUCCAAGGGUAAUUAAAAUGAAUAAACCAUCAGAUUUGGUAAAAUCAUGCAGCUGAGAGAAGUUUGCUCUCCACUGCAUUUCUGCCUCUUUGCAUUUCAUCCUCAGCACAAAGGGAGCUAGAUUCCAAGGCUCUGAGCGAGUCGUUUGUGCUUCUGCAAAAAAAUAUUACCCACAGAAAGUGGCAAACCCCGUGGGAUCUAUGCUGAGAACCACAAGGAAGAGAGGAAAGCAGCUGUGCUGCUCUGCUGGGGGGAGUACAGAGUGUGGGGCUCAUUUGGGUGCUCCCUGUGCAGGGGGUGAAACCAAGCAGGACAGAAGUGGGUGGUGUACAUUUGCUGUACUCAAUAAUUGGCAACGAUUUUUGGAAGGAGAUUGGGGGUGAAAUUAACAGAUUUGGGGCACGACCAAAUCUGUUCUCCAUUUUGUGUCCUUGUUGAGUCUCUCAGUGCAGGCACAACACAGUGCUCUUUGCAACACCCUGGUGACCCCUAGAUGAGACUUGGAAGACCACUUCUUUGCACUGGCACUCCAGACAUCAUGGCCAAGUGCCCCCAGCAAUGUGGGGCUGUAUGCCAGUGGGUCACGAAAGGAUGGAGACCACCAGCUUGGAGGGUCUGGGAAUGAAGCCUUUAAUUCAGGGGUGGACACUGAGGCAGUCCCAAUGGCUUGCAGCAUGGGCUGGAAGAACAGGAUGAUUAAUGAGAGCAAUGGCACGAAGGAGCCAGGAACUAAGUAAUGAGACCUUUAUUUGAUACAUAAUACAGCCGGGGCCCUCUAUAAAGAGAAUACCAAGAGUAGGGCUAAGUUUCACAGUUCUGGGAAUGUAUCAGGAAGGGGGAAAGCUUUGCUGACUUUGCAGCCAAACGCCUGGGCCAUCCGCAAGUGUUGUUCGCAGUGAGCUUGGGACAUGUUAAUUUGGUCAUAUAUCUUCAGAUGGUGGCAAGAUGCCCUGACUUUUGAUUUACUGUGCUGAGUGGGUCUGUGUGAUGUUGUGGGUUUAAAAUGAGGUGUCCAGAGCCUGAUUCAGUCACAGGAUCACUGAAUUCCAGCUGGGAGAUGAAGAAGCCGUUAUACACACACAACAAGAACUUCCAGCCAAAAAUUACUUAUGGUUUCAAUUAAAGGAGAAGAAGUUGCUGAUUGUUUAGGUAUGGAUGUCAGAAACACAGCAGUUAACAGCAGAGAUGAAUGAGAGAUAGUGAGGUGAUAACUUAGAUAAAUUGGUAUCUCAUCCAUAUUAAGGAGACAGCUCAUCCUCUGGUGCUGCUGGAUGACAUGAAGAGUGGAGUGUAUAUGGAUACUAAAAAACGUUGGUCUUAAAGUUAAAUCCCCAAGAACCAUCAGAAAUAAGUCUCAGAAGCCAAAGUGAGAUCUGAUGCACGCUGCAAAAAUAUGCAGUCUGUCAGGGAACGCUGCUCUCUCCAUAUAACUUCCACCGUUUGUGGGACAAUUAUAGAGAAAAUGAUACUGUGAUCUGUAAAGCAGUUCCUGCAGUGGUUUUAUUCACUAACUCGAUGCCACGCAUAAUCAUAGCCAGUAACAUCUCCAGAGGUGUGUGCAUAAUAGAGAGACAUCAAGUCAAUGAGUCAAAACAUCAGAAAAUAAAAUUCAGAUGAACAUCACUUGCAGAAAUUCUAUCAUCUGUCAUUUAACGCUGUCUGAAGACCUCCACGUUGAAAUAAGGCGUGGAAACCAGAAGUUACCCCAGGCAGCAGUCCUUAGGACCUGCACGGACUCAGGGCUUUCUGCAAGUUGGGUUGAGUGCCAAAGAAGUUCUCUUGCGAUCUUAAAACUCAAGCACCCAAAAAACACCAUAGAGGGGAAGGCAGGGAGCAGGGAGGAUCUGUCCUGCCGUGUCCCCACCUCAGAUCCUGCCCAGCAUCACCCAAGCAGCCGCUGCUGGGAGCGGAGUUGCUCCUGGAUCACCUUAAGGCUAUUUGCAGCUCUUGCUGAUGCCCUUUCAAUACCCAAUCCCGAAACUUUUCAUGCGAGGAAGCUUGCAGGAUGACAGAUUGCACCUUAAAACAAAGAGGUAAUAGCUCUUAGGUCCAGAUCUGUUCUUGGAACUAAAUUCACUGCAGAAGAAGUGUUUCUGCACAACUGCAUAAUGCCUCAAAGUGGCAUUUUACAAUCUUUAAAUUCCAACACCGAUGAAGAAUUCUGCUUUAAACUACUGCAGCAGCCCAGCCCCCCUUUAUUUAUGAGUAAUAGGCUUUUCAUUUAGAUUUAACUACAGAUUCGAGUGGUUUCCAUGUGCCAGGGCUCGGAGUCACACCAGUGUCUCCUGAGGUGGCCGUGCUGUUUCCACAGAGUCACUCAGGAUCCCCACCAAACCUGUCUUUGCAUACAUACGUGUGUAUUUUAUAUAGAUGUACACAUGCACUUCAUUUUUAAAAAGACAAAGUUUUUAUUCCAGGCUUCAUUUUCCUUUAAACCGUAUGAAGCCAAAGUUCGAAAGGAUGACCCCAAAAUUGCCAGUUUGAUUGUAAUUUCCCCCAAAAGAUUUUGGGUUGUAGGUACAUAGAGAACGAUGGCUUUGCUUCCCCCUUUCUGCUCAUCAUCCCAUGCAACGCUGAUGUGCCAGGAAGCGUGGAUGGGAUCAGGGAGCUUGGUGAGUUUGCCACAUCAGUAGUCACUGAGAGUGCCUGAAGUUUCAUUUUUCAAUGGAAAGCUGCAGUGAAACGAGUAUUUUGCUACUCAUCUUGUUAUUAUUCAUCAGUGCUUCCAAGCACCUCUCAGCCCUUUGUUUCUUGGGAAAGGCAUGGUGCUUAAAGGGGCUGAAAGGUGGAUUUUGUGGAAAGCCCAACCCACAUCUUUGAUCCCAGCGGUUUUGUAAAGCAUUCGUUUUGCUCGCUGGGAAAAUCUCUGCCCUCCCCACUCCCUCACCUCCCCCUCUUUCCCCUCCACCUAAGUUACCUCGUCUGGAUCCGAAGGAACGCUUGCCAUCCUUUGAAGAGGUAGUCUCGUCCGAAAAAUCAAUAGUCAACAUUGUCUUUAAAUAGUCUGACAUUUACCUUUACAGCAGUUUUCAUUUCUUUCCCAGAUUGCUCAGACGUUUGUAUUACCCACACACUACAUCCCUGAUCUCUCGGCCGGGAGCUUUGCACGGAUGCAGCCCCGGUGCUGCAGAGCGGCCACCAGCAAGGAACUGCAGCACGAUAAUUAACAGGACGGGAGCUCACUAAUAGAAGCAUCUUUAACUAAUUUAUGGAAGACAUCAGAAAAAAGAAAAAAAAAGAAAAAAGAAGAAGAAAAAAAAAACCAUACAAAGGAAAAGGACCUGCAGAGUAAAAUGCCGUGGGCAAAAUCCACAUAAUCUGAUUGCUGCGCCCAGAGAUGCAUUGGUGGACCACCAAAGGGUGGUGUGAAGGAGAACAUCCUCCUCCAACAGUUCAUGCACAGCUUCCCACUUAUGCAUUUUUCAGAACGAAUGCAGCAAAUAUACCUGAUCAGUGCUGAUACAACUGCUUCUCCUCCCCGACAUAUUUACACUAAGAGAUUGAUGAACCACAGGAAAAGAAGAAAAUAACAGAACAAACAACUUAUCUUCCCAGAAGCUCCCUAGAAACUUAUCUGUCAUCACUGCCCAGGCUGCAGCAAGAGGGGAUUUCAGCAUGGAAGGUAUUCUCAGUGUAUGCUGUUCACUCUGAGGGAACUUUUGACACCCAAGCAUUCUUUUCAGUGUGAGAAGCGAUUACUGCUUCCCAAAGGGGAGAGCUGGAGACCUGAGCCCUCAGCUCUGCACAUGCUCCUCAACCCCAACUUGUUCUCAGGAAAAAGUACCAGGUAUUUGCCUGAUCUAACGGAAUACAUGGAAAAAAAACAAACAACAACAACCAAACCACUAUUUGGAUUUCAGUAGGACUUCAGCAUAGACGCUUUGACACUUAAGGUGAGAAAAAUGAGCUACAGAGGAAAGCAUGGGUUUCCUUUUAGCUGAGGAGGGAUGCUCCUGCAGCUCCACUGCUCCUCAUGUCUUUGUCUUUAAAACACUCAGUGACAUAAAAAUUAGACGCACGUUAAACCUCAAAUCUAGCAAAUAGCUCCAUCUCUUAAAGCAUGUGAAUACUCCUGAUACUAUUAAGAACAUUUAACCGGUACCUGAGGGACUGGGGACCUGGAGUCAGGCGACCCAGUUUCCUACAUAAGAAAAGAGAGAAAUGUCUGCCUCCUCUAAUGCCAGGGGUUAUCCUGGGCCAGGUAUCUUUAAAAAGUAAAGAUGUGAGCAAUCUCAUAUCAGACUUAUGCAUCCAAAUGGCUCAUUAUACCAGCAGUAAUAGCUUGUGAUAGUCCUAUAGAUUUACAGUACUUAGGAAGAGAUGAUGCCCAACGUCCUUUCCCAACAAUCAUUAUGACAUGGGGAAAACCAGUGAUUUUCUUUAAGUCCAUUAGCAUAAUAUUUGUGCUUAUGAGGAUUAGACCAGCAGACACUUCACAGGUCUUUAGAAACAUAAGCCCAACACAUUCAAAUGGAGACUUUUUUUGGAACAAAGCUAUUAUCUCUCAAAUCACCCAAUAUUGCUGGCCAGUUUGGGGCAGCUGGGAAGCAGCAGGUGCUUCCACCCCAUUCCCUGCCUUGCCAGCCCCAGAAUUCCCAUUUCGUGAGCAGCUCAGCGCAUGGAACAAAACACAAGGAGGGAACUUCAGAUCAAAACGUUUAUUCUUCAUUGCAGCGGAUGAAACACAGGCACGAGGCUCCUGGGGGGGAGGUGUCUGAGCAAUCACACGUAAAACGUACAGCAUUUGCACUUGAAAUACACAGACCUGAAUCACAGCUGGGAUCAAUACAGGAGGACGAUAGAGAUUAUCAAUCUUGAGUGGUCUCCGUUACACAGAAUUGACUGGCAGCCACAUAAUGGCUCGGGCUCAGCCCACCAGUUUAGAGCCCGGGUGACAGAUCUGCAGACGCCAGCCAUCAGCAUCCCUCCUUGGCCCCUCUCACGUGCCCAUUUCUUCUGCUGUCCGGGUCAGCCUCCGAGGUGCGUCUGAGAGAUCAAUGCACAGCUACAGCUGGUUGAAGGGGACCAAAUCCAUUGAACAGUUGAUUUGGUUCCAUUUUACCAGCUUUAGCAAAGCAUUUGGCCUCACGCUCUGCAAAGCAAAGAGGGGAACUCCUCAGGGCCUUUUCCUUCACAGUCGCCAGGACCUCUUCUGAACUUGCUGCCUGACGUUGCACGGGUUCACAUGGCUUCGCUUUCAGGCAUUCAGGAUUUAUUUAAGCUUCUUAGCAGCUUUGGCUGAAGAGCGAGUCUGAAUUAAAGAGGCAGUUUUAAAAGCAGUGGAACAGUCUGCAGCACUCAGUGCCUGCCUGUAGCCUUUUAAACCCGGUGUUUGGCUCUGUUUUGAAGCUGCAUUGCUACCACAGUGUGACUGAGUAGUGUCCUAAUCCAGGUCAUUUAAUUGCCACCUCCAGCCUUCUUUCUUUCAGAUCUUUUGUCUGCUAUCCCCACCCGUGCCCUGCAUUCUGGUAACUCAAGUUUUCUCAUCUACCUUUAAAAUCAGUGCUUUCCAUGGCUUUCAGAUCUGUUGAAGACAAGCAAGGACUGUAUUUACCACCAUCGGGAGGGCGUUGAGUGGAAGAGAAAGCGGAGCAGCCCUGCAGCCUCCCAGCCCCAUCCUCUGCAAGGGCUCAGCCUGCAGCUCCCGGAGAGCCCCACGCUGUGAGCACCCACUGCUCCCAAUAACUCAGUAAAUCAGAUUUUUAAAUCACAGCAGCAGGAGCCAAUAAAGCCAGACCUCUCCUUCGUAACCCAGCGCCACGCGCAGAUAUUGCACAUCGCCACGUGCGUAACCUAUUUAAAGAAUUUACAUGCAUCGCGAGGCAAAGGUGACUUUUUCCCCCCUCUCCCUCACAGCCCACCGCACACACCACGACAUGACACCGAGAAAAAAGCACCUGUGCUGAAAGGCACUGCAUGCAGAGAUAUUGCAUGUGGGCCGGUAUUGCUGGUCCCCAAGAAAUCCAGGCUUUGCAUUGUAACAGUAAGUAGUGCAGAUCACUUAACUGCCCAGCCCCAGUACUGUAAGCUGCCUAUAAAUAAAUGCGGAGAGAGAGCGAAAGAGAGAGAGAACAUCUUUUUUAAAAGAGCUCUACAAUUAAUUUAAUCGAGUUAUCUCUAGGUACCUUUUCAAGAGACAAUCAAGCCAAGGAGCUAAAUGGAAACUUAGACAGUGAGGACCUAGAAGUAUUAAACUCAUCCUUUGGUGAGUUAUAGGAGGGAGGGAAGUAAUUAUUUACCAGAGAACGGGAGGAGGUGGAAGUGCCAGCAGUGACCGAUGCUGCACCGAGACUGCAAGCUAAACCCUGACGGGCAUAUGGAUUUUGGGAGGCAGAGCAAUGAACUGCCCGAACAUCAGCAUGGCGUGCUCCAGGUGCCCUUGUCCUGUCCCCAUCCCAUUGGUUUUGGCAGGAAGGGCGUUAAAACAAGCAUCUUCUGCUGGAGAUGAGUGCUGCUCUGUUCCCCUCGCUUUGCUUCAGGGAGUGCCCCGCAGCACAUCCGAAAUCAAUGCCAGCACGCGCCGACAUUCCGUAACGUUUUGUUUGAAUUCUCUGCAGUGAGUUAUGAGUGAGGUUUUCCUUUUUAGAAAAUUAGGUUUUCUCUUCUGGAUGCCAUUAAUCACGACUAACGAUGGCUCUGGCGGCGAGGCUUUCCCAGAACUGAGGAAAAGCAUCCCCACACCUCUGCUGCAGGGCUGCAGCACAUGGGGCUCACAGCCCCCACACACCUGGGCCCGGCCAGCAGUGCAGCAAGAGGAACUGCAGAGGCUUUGCUGGAUGUGUUCAAAGGUGUGAGCUGUGCUGAAACCCAGUCAGACCAGGCUUUGGUGUCACUUACCCUUCCUAUUGCCCUCCCAGGUUCAAGGACCGGGCGACCCAGCGCCACCAAAUUUAGGUUUGCUGUCUGAAGGUCAUCCUCAUCCAGUUGUUUCCUCCCAGCAGUGCUUGGAAUUGGGUCUCACUGGGAAGGUCCUUUCUGGUCGCUCUGUCCCUAGGACCCUGCCCAUGGGACCGACACCGCCCCAGCCAGGAAUGGCCACAUAGUGGAAUGGCACUGGGGAGAUAUAGGAACACAUCUCUGAAGCAAAUCCAAGGCAAAAUAGCAAAAUAAAGCUGUGCAUCUCAUUCCCCUCUCUGCCAGUCACUGUGUAAUGCCUCGGUUUUGCUUUUGGUCUAAGUGUCAGCUUUGCAGUUCAUGAUUACACUUCUGAGAGCAGCCAGAUCCCUGUGUUAUCAAAGCACUGCCAUGGCAAGUGGGGCCAAAAGUGGGCAACAUAAGAGAACCUGGGGCAAUGAAGACCUUUGUGCUUUAGCCUCAACAUUCUAAUGAAGAUGUUUUAUAUAGACAGCACAGAAUAGCCAAAGAAUUUAUCAACAUUUGUCGAUAUUCCUAAUGAAGCAGAAGAUUCAACAUGCAAUAGAAUUAGCCUACAAGGAACCCUUGUGUAGGGCCCAUCCUUCUGAGUCCAGAAAUCUCCUGCUUAUUCCAGUCCAAUACCCUUUUGAGAAAUGAACAUCUCUUGAAAUCAUUAUCAUUAUAAGCUAAAAGGCCAAAUGAGACAAAGUACUGUUGCUCUUCAUCUGAAUAAACAAAUCAUUUUUAGAUCAAAUGCAUUAACAAUUUAUCAUGCUAAAAUCCAAUCAAAAGGAAAAAACAACAAUACAGAACAUUGAUUUCUUACAGCUUUAUCUUAAUGAAGUGCACAUUCCCUCUGUAAUUAGCUUUGGAAGGUUUUUUUCCCUUUCCUCAAGUUAAUGUGUUAUUUGAUUUCCAUCCAAAUGUCACUAAAUCUGAGGAAUUUUCCCCAAAAUGAAGUGGCUUUUGAUAAUACAGGAAAACGUCUGCUCUCUCAUUUGGCUAUUUUUCCCCCAAACAGCCAUACUUGUACUGCAGAUGAUUCAACUUUAUUGCAUGGUGUCUUUGCGAGGAUGUUUAAAUCAAUGCCACAGUUGCUGUAUUCUGCACAAUGUGCCAUUUGUAAGCCAGAAAAUACAACCUCGGUGCUUUUAUCCUUUUUCUUACAGACAUAAAAUAUUAAUUUAAUUUAUAUUAUUACAGGGGAAAAAGUGGACUGUGUUUUAUUAACAUUUCUAAAAUUAUAGGUAUUCAACCCAAAAAAUAUGCUUCAGCCAAGGCUGGGAAGUCUUCCGCUUGGAUUUUAUUUGACUUAAUUAAAAAGCACUCAGUUCCUAUGGGCACUAAAGGAGCUGCUGACAGUGCAGUAGCCACUCAGUCUUUCAAAACUAUUACCUGAACUUAAUAAAGUGUCUAUUUAGUUUAUACACCUCCAUGAUCCCACCUGUCUCCCACCAACAUGAUGCAAUUCUUGCUAAUGGCUGGAGAAGGCAGCGGGUUGAUGGCAGCCCACAGGCACCCCAGGCAGAACAAUUCCCAUAUCCUAUUGCCUGCCCUAUCUACCUUUAAUCACAGGGUCACAGAAUGGCUUGAUUUGGAAGAGACCUUUAAAGCCCAUCUGGUCCAACCCCCCGCAAUGAGCAGGGAAACCCACAGCUCCAUCAGUGCUCAGAGCCCCUCCAGCCUGACCUUGGGUGUCUCCAGGGAUGGGGCACCUCUCUGGGCAACCUGUGCCAGUGCUUCACCGCCCUCAGCAUAAAAACCUUCUUCCUCAUAUGCCAAUAUCCGAAGCGUUCAAAUCUCCACCAUGCUUGUAAUGAUCAAUGCUAGGAAAGCUUUUUCCCGGCUGCCUCUCUGCUCCUCCACUACAUAUCUCAUUUAAAUCUUUUCUUCUUUAAAUGAUGCUGAACAGAGGACUAUUGCUUUCAUCCUGCUUCACUGAGUAUUUGCUGAAAUGCAGUGGCUAAUUUGAUAGUCCGGUUUUAUUUGGACGUACUGUCGAGACAGAGAGCAAGAUCUAUAACAGAGAAUAUAACCCCAAAUCCUACCAAUUACCAGCUUAUUCCUUAGUUAUACAGGAGACCACAAGUGACCUUAUCAAAAUCUUGACUCUCAAUAUGAACAUCUUCGUCUUAAUCCAAAUUUCACCCUGGAGCUGAAGGUCCUGCUUCAUACACAGCCUAAGAACUGCGGAGCAUCCAUUGCAGCAGGGAGCCCACCCCUGGGACAGGGCUGCCCGCCGAGAGCUGCAGCUCCUGGAACUGGCAGCAGAAAUAGUUUGGAGUUUGGAUUUUUAAACUCACACACUCAAAGAGAACAAAGCUGUUCCCUAAUACACUUUGUGCAUUUUAUGGACCGAACAAUUAAAGAGGUUUUAAAACAUCUGCUGACUGCAUAAUUCCAUACAGGGGAGUGUACUCAGCAUUUUUAAACAACAACGGGUACGAGAUACCACUUAACAGUACAAAACACCAUCAGUCCCGUUAAAAUCAAUAGAAAAUUAGAUGCUAUGAAAAUGCAAUAUGUGUCCAAUUAGUUAUAAUUGGAGCAAAUGGUGAUGCAGAUAAACUCCUGGAGUAAGAUGCAUUUGUCCGGCCCGCUCCCUGCCUGCUUUCGGCACAGCACGGUAUCGGCAGUGGCAGGCUCUGCUGUGCCCCAUAGCAUGAAGGAUGAUCCCUCUAAUACACGUAUGUUAACUGUUAUCUAAUUAUGGAGCUGCUCUGAGCCUGCAGGACUGUUUCGGUGCCCCACCGUGCGCGGUGAAAAAUGAUCCUCUGUCACACGGAAACCUCCCUGUUGUACUUGACAAAUUAUGCCAGCAAACCUGUUUAAGAACUAAAAAAUCCUUGGACGCGGUGACAGGCCAAGAAAUAUGUUGUUUGGGGACAGAUAUUUAUUUAUUUAUCUGGCAGAGGUUAAGAGCCACCACUCGGUUCACUUCUCCCCUGCCUGUCUCCGUUCUGGCAGCUCAAAAUCCGUCUCACCGAUUGUUUCGCCGGUUUCUUUCAACUCAUAAAAACUCCAUUGCAAGGCAAAACAGGAACUAGGUUAUGCGAUGCCAGCGCUUUAUUUUUAACAUCUCCCCUGCAACACGUUGGCCUCCUCUUGGUUUAAUCUUACAACUAAAGGAAUAAGAGCGACGGUUCCGCACAUCCCCAACCGAGUAUUGCCGCCGGCCGCGCUGCCAACCCUCCGUGCCCUUGCAGGGUAUGGAAAUGUGAAACUACUCACGUUGCUCUCAGUACAACCCAUAUUAACUUUGGGGGGUAUUUUUUUCAUAUAUUUGUCUAUAAAGUAGAGAUUACUUUACACAAACAAUUAGCUCAGAGGUAAGAAGCUAUAACUACCGGCAGGGCUCUUAUUUUAUUCCUGUUUUCUGUUAAUAUUAUUAUUCUAAUCAGCAGUAAGGACUGGUGGGUGCAAAGAAAAGCUCCUGUUUGCCCGGCCCUGAAACCUCCUUGUGUUAUUGCUGCUGUUACUUACACGGGAAAGGGAACUGUCUCUUGAGGAAGGGAAAAAAAUGGAGGUGGCAGCUUUUAUUUGUUAAGCUGACUCAGCUGGACAGUGGAACAAGAAAUGUUCAGAUCCAAUCCAUAACUUUUGUGGCCGCUCUAAGGACGUAUUCUUCCUCGACACUGAUAAAAGUUUAAUAUGGAGUUGCCCAGGUUUUUAAUAAACUUGUCAACAAAAGAGCAAGGCAAAUUGAUGGGGACCUUCCCAGGAAUAAAUUCCACUUCAAAUAGGCCAAAUGAGUGUGGAGGACAGAGAGGGGAAGGUACACGGGCAGCUUCUGCUGUUCUUUGCAAAAAUGGCACAAUGGAUUUUAGUGGGUGCGUAUGUGUGUGCGUCUUAUUAUCUCUGAGACAAGGCUUUAGGACAAAGCUUAAAUUAAAGAACACAACCUGGUGUGGCUCAGAGCCCUGACACGGCAAGGAAGGGAAGGGACAAAGCUCCGGCACUGAUUUAGCGGUGAAGCCAUUCCCCACUAAGGAACUGCCAUCUCACCCUGCGAGUAGUGCCGCAUCUCCCAGUGCACCUGAAGGCUCCAGGCAUCUCCUACCCAGACUGUGGUCACUUUGGGACCAUCCCCAACACACUCUGCAACAACCUUUACUCAUACGCUGAGUAUCACCUGUGCCCACCCAUGCAUCACCUGCCCGCCAGCAGACCCUCUCUACUCUGACCUGUGAUGCCAACAGAGUUUUAUCCCACAUCCCCCACUACGCACAUCACAUUUCAGCUACUGCCUGCGCGUUUAUCUCCACUCAGUCAAACCAAUCCCAUUCACUGCUCAAUUUUUUUACUUCCAUACAUCAUGAGCUGCCUCCAGGCACCACACCGCCCCUUCCCAUGGCAUUGACUGCAGGCAUGGCAGGAGGGGCACACACUGCAUGCUCUGCAAGCUUGGGAUGGAAAUCUCUGCACGAGAUGCAUUAUUUUCUAUUAGCCUCCAUCAAGCUGGUGCCUUAAAUUAUUAAGCUUUGUUGUGGUGUUGGUUUGUUUUUUUUUUUAAUUUGUUGACCUGAAGUAAACACAAGUAUUAAAUCAGAUUCCAAUAAUCUCACUGACAGUAAAUUAACUCAUUGUGUCCUAGAGGGGGACGCAACCGCAUCUUGGCCACUCUGAGCAAUGCUUCACCAUCCCUGCAGAUUCCACAUGCAUGCAAUGGGGUAAAAAGCAGAAGGCCAGAUCCUGCCUCCAACCUUGGGCCAUGUCCCAGAUUGGAAGCUCUGCCUGGAUGCCGCGAUGAAAUUUAUUCCUGAUCAUUCUUAGGUCACCGGAUUCCUGCUCCGGUAGCUUUACCCGACCCCCCAAAUGCCAGGGUCGACGUGCCUAUGUAAGGGCUUUGCAGGGACGGCUCCUGCCCUCACAGCUGCUUGGGGACUUCUGCAGCCGGUGGUCACGAGCCCCUGGCUGCCCAGAUGCCACCUAAUCCGGCCCGGCAGAGGGGCAGCUGAGAAUGAGCACUAUUUAUACCAGCUGCUGCUGGUCCCGCUGGGCUGCCUGUGGCUUUUUUAGCUAGCAGCUCCCAUCCCAGCGCAGGCCAUAUCUGGACAUGGCACAGGCAGAGUGCUGUGCUUCGAGAAGAGAAGAAAGAAAAAAAAAAGAGGGAAAAAAGGAAAAGCUGCAUCUGUUUUAAGAUGUCAGGCACCCUGUUUCCAUCAAAGCAUCCUGAGCACCACCAAAACUGCUCCAACUGCUAAAAGCUUCACUAUAAACUUGCCUCUUAUUCCAAGUGUGUCUGUCCUCUGACAACCUUCCACCCGUGCACAUGGCUAUUGGCCUCUGUUCCUUCAUACAGACCUCUAUGCAAGAAAUGCAAGCUCAAAGCAAGGGUGAAUGCUGACACUGCUUACACAGUGUGAGCAGAAUCUCCUUUGGAGAAUUACAGGGUGUCAGAGGAGGCAGGCGGCUUGGAGCUCUGCCUGUUGAGGAGGCUGCACAAGACUUUGCAUUUUGGCCAUUACACACUCAGAAUGAGCUUGUUCUUGGGUAAUUGCACCAAGACCUUCUCCAGUCCUAUCCCUGCAAUGGCUUCAGCAUCUCUACAUGAGCAGCCCCCUCCCUCUGGGGGAAUGCAAGGCAGGGGAGCAGCAUAGCUGCCUGCAGCCCAGCAAGCAGGCGGUGCAAUGAGCUGCACUCGCCAUGACCCUGCAUCCCAACAGGGAAGCAUCUUGCUGCAUGAUGGCUUCAGGUCAAGAGCAACUUCAGCAGAAAGCGCUAAACUGAGCGCCUUCACUGGGAGGGAAUCGCUGAAAUCAGCGCCCGGCUUUCAGGGGAGGGAUGCGAGCUCCGGAGCGAGGAUAUUUCUCUUGCAAGGAACACACCACCCCCUCGCCCACAGCCACCGUGAAGUGCAAGAUGUGGUGAAACUCUUUAAAAAUAGAUAUAUUCCCAAGCAAUACAUGCCGCUCGCAUCUGGCAGGGCAAACCUAGCAUGGAAGCUCUUGCUUACAGACUAAAAAGCCUCGGAGCAGCUCAAGGCUCCUGCAACCUUGUCUCUCUCCUCGAUUCUUCAGAGCCCGCUCUUGUUCUUGGCCUAACCCAGUCCUGGGAAGCACAAGGGAAGCCCUGCCCAGCUAGGCUGGUGUCAAAGGCAGGGAAAGAUACUGCAGUGCAGUGCUGAUCUCUUCUGCAAUCGGACGUGCAGACUAGCCCGAAUGCUGAGUCAGCACAAUUUCUUUUUUGAUUGGUUGAUCCGAGUAACAUACUUUCAAUGUAUGCUAAAGGGGCAGCAAUUAAUAUGUUUUCCCCCCGUUCUCCACCUUUCCAAACCUCCUCAAAUCAAACACACAAAUCUCACCCCCAAAGUCACUCUCUGGUCCUAAAUAUUCUGAGGCUCUUUCAUUUUUAAUUUAGGGCAUUAAAAAAAAAAAAAUUUGCAAUCUAAGCGAUGCUCACUUUGAUCGACUUGUGCUGCAGCAGCUAAAAUAUCUGUCCUGCAGGUCAAUCUAAUCAUGCUUAAUAGCAGUUUAUUCUUCAACGCAACAUUUUUCACAUUGGGUCGACAGUUUUAAAUGAGAUUGCUGAUGCACCCCUUUACUAAUGCUUUCACCAGGGCCAGCACAUCCCUUGAAAUACUCGUGCAAUAAAAUGAAUGCUUUAUUGCUCUUGAUGAAUGCACUAUUAAACUUGAAUUGCAAAUAUGCCCCCCCCCCCCUUUUUUUUUUUUUUUUUACAAAAGAAGAGUGCUGGGAUUUAUUGGACCACCUGUCUUCCAGUAUUAAGUAAUAGCAACAAAAGUAAUAAUAGCUCAUCAACAUAAACACAUGAAAGGGAAAAAAAUAAUUCAGGGGAAAACACACAGCACGAAUUCAUCCCCGUGCUCCCAUGCGCGUGUGCAAAAUUCCCAUUCUAUACCUGCCCGUAGUUCCUCUUAUGUGCAGAAAAUUCAUCUCAAGAACGGAUGGGUUUUGUGAGGCAUAGAAUAGGAAAACGUAACUAAUUUGGUCCACUGGAUUUAUGGCUUUUACAGUCCUCAGAGCUCCCGUUUCUGCUGGUGGGACCGCUCAGUGCGCGCUUUGCGGGACGGAUGGGCACAGCCGAGCAUCGCGCCUCGCUUCAGCACAGAACCUGCAGCUCUGCUCUAUGGAGAGCGAAGGAGAAGAGGCUUUCUUCAAGCUAAGAAAUAGGGAGGACCUAGUGUGGAGGAACAGUCACAGUUUUAAUCCAAACAAGAAGAAAAGCGAGAAGGAGCUGGAGCUAAGAGUAAGAAUGGCGCAAACUGGUGGACGAUGCUAAUGACUAAAGGGCUGACGUGGUUUUGGGGUCUUUACAGCAUUUCUAUUUAUUUUUUGGCAUUGCCACACUGCACCAGAGAUGGGGUAGGGUCUCAGGAUGUGUUCUGCACCCACACACCUCCACCACGUGGCUCCCACACCGUGAGACAGAGCUGAGUUAUGGUUUUGAAAAUAUUUACAUAAAAAUAAAUCUGAACACUUAGUGACUUCCUAAAGUUAGCAAUUCCGUGUGAUUAACAAGCAUAUUAAUUCAGAGAGGGGGAAGGAGAUAAAAAUUGCAUUAGGGAUGCAGGUAUCUGUUGUAAAUCAGACCAUGAGCACCUUCGCUAGAGAUAUGCACAGUGAUGUGGAAGGCUCAGUAACACCCGCGCUGAGAAUGCAGAGAAAGAGAAGAAAACAAGAAAAAGAAAGAGCAAGACAAUGAGAGAAUGAAAGAAAAGAGAAAAAAAAAAAGAAAAUAAAGAAGAGAAAAAUAUAAGAGCGGAGUUGAAAGCAAGAAAGCAAGCUAGAAAUAAGGAGAAAAUGAGAAGCACACAAGUAGAAGACAAGGAAAGAAGGAAGGAGAGGAAAGCAGUGAGGAAAAGGGAAUCGAGAAGAGGUAGGGUAAAAGGUCACCUGGGAGAGGAGGGAAAUUGCUAUUGUGGCCAGAAUGGUGAGAAUCAUCCCCAUUUUUCACACAGCAAGUCAAGCUCCCAGCAGUGAUGUACAAGUGAGAGAAAUUGCAGCCCUGUUUGGCCAUGGGAACUCUGCUGCUCCGUCUCUAUUCAUUUCCCAGCACCUUUGUAUUUAAUUGUGGCCCCAAACUGGGGCAGGACACCCUCAGUGGCUGGGACCCAUCCCUGUCCAGGGGACAAUGCCUCUCCUCAAAGCACCUGGCAAAGCAGAGGUCCCUCCUCCCCCAAGCAGAGGUUGAGCACUCCAUGUGUGUCCACCACUUGUAUCAUCUUUCUAAAAAAAGAAAGAUUUAUAAAACUUACAGAAUUCUGUACAUUGGAAAUCUCCUUAAGAGCCCAGCCCUCCUUACUUAACCUGCUAUUCACAAGUGCCUGCUUUCCGUUAAACCCCAUUUGGUGUACGUGUAACAAGUGGCAGCAGUGCUUGCCAUGAAUCACAACAAACUGAGGCUCAGCAAAGGCCUUCAGAGCACUUUUGCCAAGCACAGAGAUGUGCUGAAACCAGAGGGAACUUGCUCCAGAGCAGAACACUGCUGUGCCCUCGGCUGCACGGCGGGGUGAUGGGGAUAAGUUUGGGAGUAGGUGGGAUGGAGAAAUGCAGUGCCUAACAGCCCAGAUAUGUGCAUCUCAUAAGCUUGAGGAAAAUGGGGGCUGAAAGCUUCACCCGCCCCUACCCAGACAGAAAGUUCUGAUUGUUCGCACAGAACGUUACACCCAUUUGUAUCAUUGCAUCUCACUGCCGUGGGAUGCUGGGAGAAUAACCAGGUGUUUUACGAUGAGAAAGGUUAAAAAGGAAAACCAGAACACCAGGAAAGCUUCUCAAAUUCAAGGUGCUAUUUUCCUUAUUUCCCUCUAAUAACCCUCUAAUAACACACACUGGGAGCGCUCACUGCCUCUGGCUGGGAGCUGGGCACCCACUGGCCAUGUCCAAGGGCCAACACACGCACAGUGAACAUUGCUUCCUCUCCAGCAUUAAGCACAAAAAGUUUUAACACAGGAAACAUCCCAAAAGCUGUCUGCGUAUUUACGUGAAGCCAAAAUACUGCACCUCCAAGUCACAACUCCUUCCCUUCUUCUCCCCGCCUCCAACUCCUUUCCUUUUCCCUAGGAUUAAGGACCAGCUCUUUUACCCAGCCUUAUUUUUGGGAAAAAGGGCCGAGGGGGAAGCAGCAAUCCGGAGGGACUGGUCUGUAUCCCCGCUGAAAACCAGGAGUGGACAGCCAGCUUUCCUCUGGCAUCGCCUUUCAAAGCCCAUGCCGCAGUCAGCAUAUUGAAUAUUUAAUGUCCUGAUGAGCAUUUCCACCUGCUGACACAGGCAAAGUGACAGAACAAUACACGCACUGGAACAAGAUCACCAAUUGACUCCCCAGCCAGUCUGCCAUGUCAGGCAUCUCAAAAAAAAAAGACAAAAAUCUGUCUGUCUUCCUCCCCCCCCCCCCCUUCACACGGGGUCAUACAUUGCUCCUCCGAGAAGAG